rnacentral:sRNA from 1 species
AUUUAGCCCUGAUAGCAGCGGCAUCCUUUUAUCCCGAUUUUUUCGGGAUGAAAGAUAUAGCGGAUAGCAGGAGGAGUU